rnacentral:rRNA from 1 species
CCUACGGGCGGCAGCAGUAGGGAAUCUUCCACAAUGGGCGCAAGCCUGAUGGAGCAACACCGCGUGAGUGCAGAAGGGUUUCGGCUCGUAAAGCUCUGUUGUUGGAGAAGAACGUGCGUGAGAGUAACUGUUCACGCAGUGACGGUAUCCAACCAGAAAGUCACGGCUAACUACGUGCCAGCAGCCGCGGUAAUACGUAGGUGGCAAGCGUUAUCCGGAUUUAUUGGGCAUAAAGCGAGCGCAGGCGGUUGCUUAGGUCUGAUGUGAAAGCCUUCGGCUUAACCGAAGAAGUGCAUCGGAAACCGGGCAACUUGAGUGCAGAAGAGGACAGUGGAACUCCAUGUGUAGCGGUGGAAUGCGUAGAUAUAUGGAAGAACACCAGUGGCGAAGGCGGCUGUCUGGUCUGCAACUGACGCUGAGGCUCGAAAGCAUGGGUAGCGAACAGGAUUAGAUACCCUGGUAGUC